UAGGGAAUCUUCGGCAAUGGGGGCAACCCUGACCGAGCAACGCCGCGUGAGUGAAGAAGGUUUUCGGAUCGUAAAGCUCUGUUGUAAGUCAAGAACGGGUGUGAGAGUGGAAAGUUCACACUGUGACGGUAGCUUACCAGAAAGGGACGGCUAACUACGUGCCAGCAGCCGCGGUAAUACGUAGGUCCCGAGCGUUGUCCGGAUUUAUUGGGCGUAAAGCGAGCGCAGGCGGUUUGAUAAGUCUGAAGUUAAAGGCUGUGGCUCAACCAUAGUUCGCUUUGGAAACUGUCAAACUUGAGUGCAGAAGGGGAGAGUGGAAUUCCAUGUGUAGCGGUGAAAUGCGUAGAUAUAUGGAGGAACACCGGUGGCGAAAGCGGCUCUCCGGUCUGUAACUGACGCUGAGGCUCGAAAAGCGUGGGGAGCGAACAGGAUUAGAUACCCUGGUAGUCCACGC
rnacentral:rRNA from 1 species